rnacentral:lncRNA from 1 species
UUGAAGUAUGAGGCGGUUUAAUCUGAUCAUUAACCGUUAUAACUAUUUCAUUCCCAUCUUGUGCAUGUUCUUCUGGUUGUGCUUCUGGAGGUUCGUUACCCAGAUUCUGAUCAUUAACCCUCUUACGUUUUCUAUUGGGAAAAGUUUAUGCUGUUGAAGUAUGAAGAGGGUCAAUCUGAUCAUUAACCGUCGUUGUAGUUGGCAUACUAGAUUAUUCAAUUACUAUUUCUCCAACAAUCCAAUAUACAUAUAGGAACAAUUUUGUAGAAGAUUUCGAAUGCGGAGGGAUACAUUCCUUCCCAUUGUAGAAGCUCUUGGCAAAAACGACAUUGCUGAAUACUUAAGAAAACCCAACAAAAACGACAUUGAUCGUUUACGACAAAAUUAAUUAUUUUUAAAAUUAUGUAAUGUUAUUUUUUAAUUAUGUCAUUCUUAAAAUUUGGCAAUAUUAUUUUAAAUUAAAUUUCGUAUUUUAAUUAUUUUUUCGAAUUAUAAAAAAAUAGUACAUACUAAUUUUAUCAUUCAAUCAAUUUAUAUUAU